rnacentral:rRNA from 1 species
AGCAUAUCAAUAAGCGGAGGAAAAGAAACCAACAGGGAUUGCCCUAGUAACGGCGAGUGAAGCGGCAACAGCUCAAAUUUGAAAUCUGGCGCAAGCCCGAGUUGUAAUUUGUAGAGGAUGUUUCUGGCGACGUGCCUUCCGAGUUCCCUGGAACGGGACGCCAUAGAGGGUGAGAGCCCCGUACGGUUGGAUGCCUAGCCUCUGUGAAACUCCUUCGACGAGUCGAGUAGUUUGGGAAUGCUGCUCUAAAUGGGAGGUAUACGUCUUCUAAAGCUAAAUACCGGCCAGAGACCGAUAGCGCACAAGUAGAGUGAUCGAAAGAUGAAAAGCACUUUGAAAAGAGGGUUAAAAAGUACGUGAAAUUGUUGAAAGGGAAGCGUUCAUGACCAGACUUGGGCAGGUUGAUCAUCCGUGGUUCUCCGCGGUGCACUCUGCCUGCCCAGGCCAGCAUCAGUUCGCCCCGGGGGAUAAAGACUUUGGGAAUGUGGCUCCCUCGGGAGUGUUAUAGCCCACUGUGUAAUACCCUGGGGUGGACUGAGGUUCGCGCUCUGCAAGGAUGCUGGCGUAA